GACAGUGUGUCCGAGUGGUUAAGGAGUCAGACUAGAAAUCUGAUAGGCUUUGCCUGCGCAGGUUCGAAUCCUGCCGCUGUCGAG
rnacentral:tRNA from 1 species